GGUGACUAGCAUAGAAGGCGGAGGAGGUCAUUGGAGCCGGCUUCCCUUCCGCUUUGGCUGCCAAGCUCCGCGCGUUGGUGAGUCCCUCUCUCUAUCCCUCUACAUCUCUCCCUCUCUCUGUCAGAGGGCAGCUACCAACCCCGAGGUGCAGGCGGCCAUGGAAAAGCAGAAGAUGCCACACCUAGCUUUCCCCCUUGCCUCCUGCCCUUUCUCUUCAGCUCAUUUAUUUACAUGUGCAAAUUCUCUUUUAUCUAUGCCUGCAAGGUGUUUGAUGAAAGUUCAGUAAGGCUUUGAGGGAAUACCAAACAAGAGAGGAUCCAGUAUCUGUAACAUGCAUCAGGUUGACACCAACUUCAUGCAUUUUGCUUCAAGAUCAUUGUUAAUUUAAUUCAAAAUGUUUUCUCAUUCUAUUGGAAGAUAGAAAGGAUGGUUGUAGAAAGAUAACUGUUCUACUUGGAUACCUUUCUUUGUUCUCGUUUGCAUUUAAGUAAAAAUGUUCAACUGCAGAUAUAGAUUGCCGGCGGGUGGAUAUAUUGCUCAAAAGAUGUCACUAGUGCUGUACUGCUGUAGAUGCCAUUGAUUUCAUAUAUCAAAGCAUUACAGCUCUUUCAGAUCCUUUGUAUUUCCACUUAGUUAGCUUGAAAAUCUUGUCUACUACGGACACCUCUUGAAAAUUGCAAAGGAGUUCUAACUCCCAACAAGCUUAUUUCCUUAAAAAAUGUAACUGGUACAAUGUUCUACGUACCUUAUGAGAGGUCAGCCCCGGCAUCACAGUCCAUUCCUGAAGAAGUUCACAUGCAUGGUGUUGAUUGUUGAGUUUGCUUGGUUAACGGAAUGACAUGCCUAUGCAGAUCAGCAGGGGGAAGGUCCAGGGUGAAACCUUCAGGAGGGAUUUGAUGUUGCUAUUGUUUCAGUUUGCAGAUAGAGGAUGUGAUUCCAGCAAGACAGAGACGAUGGCGAUGACAAGUGAGAUUUAUGUUAAGGAGUAUUAGCAUAUGCUCACAGGAUCACUGGAAGUUUAUAAAUGUAUCCGCAAUGAUUGUUGCUUUCUUAUUGACACAUAAUUGAAUUAUAAUUAUAGACAGUAAGAGUAGUUGUCUUUUCAUUUGUUAGAAAACAUAGUGUACCUUUAUAAUCGUAGUUAUAUGCAAUGAUCCAUCAUGUAUUUUUGUUUAAAACUGCAACCCGUAAUUGUUUGAUGUCAUUAAAUGUCUCUCUCUCUCUCUCUCUCUCUAUAUAUAUAUAUAUAUAUAUAUAUAUAGUUUACGUUCUUAAAUUAGCCUCCAUACUAUCUGCAUUGUCAUGGUAACCUUGGUAGGUCAUAAUAUGUAGAUCCAUAAUCCCGGUUCAAUUUGAGCUUUCCAUGUGAUUUUUUACCUGAAUAUUAGGAUCACAACUUAAUUAACUUAAAUUAGCAGUAUAGUGUCAAUGGACGUCAUCUGAAGCUAAUAAGAUGUUGUUUAUUGAAGAACAGCCCCUUGCUACUUGCACAGUACAUGAAAAGCACACUAAAUAGAUUAAAGAAAUCAUACUUGACUGUGAUUGCAUUUGGUUGAUGCUUACGUGUAUUUCUCAUGGGUAUACCAAGGGGGCAAUCUUCUAUAUUUCAGGUCCAAAGCUUUCAAUGCAUUUUUUUAUCUGUUUUUCAUGUCCCAAUGAUCAUCUGCAAGUCCGAAUUAUGCCAUUGUUGAUGGUGCACAGGUAUGUUGCAUGGUGAACCCAGUAUUGGCCCUCCUUUCAAGCUCCUGUGUUCAUCCUAGAUAAAAUUCUGGAAAAUACGUCGGAACUAUCUUUUAAUCUUCCAACAGUGUAUUGCUAUGAUUAUAUAUAUGGAUACAUCAUAUCGAUGUGUCUAGAGACCUAAAGCCUUAAGAGUUAAGUGCCAAACUGGGGACUGAUAUUAUAACUGCAGAUGGGCUUUAUUCAGGUAUUUUCUUGCCAUAAAUGAUGAUGUUUGCAGAUGGGCUUUGUUCAGUCAUAAGAGCUUAUCAGUUCAGCCUGCAUACUUUUGUUUCUUCAGUGUACUGUGUCUGAGGAAAGCAUUUAUUUUGUCUCCUGUUUAAGUGAAUUCAUGGCUAAGAUGGACGAAUUUCUAUUAUGUGGGCUGGAGGUUCUUGAGUUAGGGCACUAGCACUAGCUAAGCUUCCAUUCUGGUAAAAUGUAUGACAUGCUUGAUGAGCAUGCAUAUCUAUAUGGUUUUGUGGACACUGAUUUAGUUCCAUGCUAGUUUAUUUCCAGCAGUUGGUCUGCUUCUUCAUAGAGAUUUUAUUAGUACUAAAUUAAAUUAGAAACUGAAUGUGUGCUUCUUUCACCUUCAGUCUGAACAUGACAUUGCCUUAUUUGUGACACAGGUGGAAAUUAGCAAGCAAGAUACAGUCGGUGCAUGGAUGACCAAGAUUACUUAUUACUUUAUGAAGAUGAUGAUUCCUGCAUGUUGAUUGUGCUUCAAGGGUAGAAGAGGAUGGGAGGAGGGGACACGCGCUCUAUAUUUUGUUAUGCACACCUUUCUAAACUAUACUUGUCUUCUUAACACAUGUUCAUUGUCCAGUAGAAGCUGUAGAUUUCAGCGUACAAUAAUUUCCAAAAUGGCAGAAGGUCUCUGCGCCAUUUGGCCAUUUGGUCUUUCUCCUGUCGCCAGCGCUUCUUCUUCUCGUCUGUCCUGCUGCUAACCCAACAUGCUUCUGCUUGCUGCCUCGGGUUGUACGAUCUCUUCUGUCGCUGCGUCGUUCGACUCAUCAAGGACAACGGUGAGAAGGGGCUCUUGAGGCGGCUGCACUCGGUCCCCCCCUGCAGCCACACACCACAUCGUCCGACCAUGUUGGUGAAAUUUGCAGAACUGACGGCUUCGCAGUAAGACUAUGGAUGGCUGCUAGGUUUUGGUAAUGGUGAGGACAGGUGCUGCCGAAGAUAAUUCGAGGUUUCUCGGAAAAUCCAGGGGACAAUGUCAUAGUGCUGACAUUGGGGACGAGUUUUGAUACUUCGGGAGAAGCCUAUGACUUUUACAACCUGUGCUUUUGGGAUAAGCGAUUCGGCAUUAGUAGGAAGACUGAAAGACAGUUAAUGGGAAAAUUAUUGGUGUGAUUGAAUAAGUAGUUUCAUGGUUCUGAUGUCUGAUGUAUGAUUAGAGCAUUUUCUCUUAUGGUGUACUGAAUUAUUAAAGAUUGUGUGUGAAUUGUUAAGAUGCAAUUUUUCUAUGUAUGUGUGGAUCCACGGCGGUCCAGACUGUA